UAGGGAAUAUUGGACAAUGGGUGAGAGCCUGAUCCAGCCAUGCCGCGUGCAGGAAGAAGGCCUUCUGGGUUGUAAACUGCUUUUGCCGGGGGAUAAAAGAUCCCUGCGGGGAGAAUUGAAGGUACCCGGUGAAUAAGCCACGGCUAACUACGUGCCAGCAGCCGCGGUAAUACGUAGGUGGCAAGCGUUGUCCGGAUUUAUUGGGUUUAAAGGGUGCGUAGGCGGUUCUUUAAGUCAGUGGUGAAAUACAGCCGCUCAACGGUUGAGGUGCCAUUGAUACUGAAGAACUUGAGUACAGUCGAGGUAGGCGGAAUUGACGGUGUAGCGGUGAAAUGCUUAGAUAUCGUCAAGAACACCGAUAGCGAAGGCAGCUUACUAGGCUGUAACUGACGCUGAGGCACGAAGGUGCGGGGAUCAAACAGG
rnacentral:rRNA from 1 species